GUGAAUCAUCAAAUCUUUGAACGCAAAUUGCACUCUCUUCGGAGAGUAUGCCUGUUUCAGGGCCAGCCUAUAAAAACUCCACAUCGUUGCUGUUUCGCUGUGAUGUGCGUCGGAAAUUGGGUCAUCUUAAAUCCUCGUGGUUUUAAGCGACUUAAAAUUUUCUUUUUGGUUCCAUGAACGUUCCUAAGAUUUAUU
rnacentral:misc_RNA from 1 species